CGACCGGCGCACGGGUGAGCAACACGUAUGGAACCUGCCCGCAGCAGGGGGAUAAGCGGAAGAAAUUCCGUCUAAUACCGCGUAACAACGUUGGGAGGCAUCUCCCGAUGUUUAAAGAUUUAUCGGCUGCGGAUGGCCAUGCGGCGCAUUAGCUAGUCGGCGGGGUAACGGCCCACCGAGGCGACGAUGCGUAGGGGUUCUGAGAGGAAGGUCCCCCACACUGGUACUGAGACACGGACCAGACUCCUACGGGAGGCAGCAG
rnacentral:rRNA from 1 species